rnacentral:lncRNA from 1 species
AAAUCUUCAAUAAUCAAUAAAUAAAAUUGCGGAAAUACAUACAACUAUCUCAAGGAUUGGUAGUAUAAGGAAUGAGCGAUUAAGAUUAAGAAUACAACUCCGAUAGGAAGAACAAAAAUACAAUAUUUGUUUGAAAUUCAUAAACUGAAAUAUAAAGUCCUAAACUACCAUAAACAAAUGGUAGCUUGAAUCUGAAUUGCUGAUACAUCUUCAAUGCUGGCCUUUGUCAUCCACAACAGCUCAGCUCCAAGAUCUGCGCGCAAGGUGCAGAAGUGUAGUAUGAGUACAAACCGACCCCAUGUACUCCAUAAGUAUUAAGUCUAGCUUCGGUGAAGUAGUGAUGAGAUUUUAAGUCAAAAGAUACAGUUGCGACCAAACGCACACGCAAAUAUACGUGGUCGUCAAGUAAUAAAGUGACUAAAAGUCGGAUGUCGAACCCACGAAAACUUGUGAUUAACUAUUAACUAAAUUAGACUAUCCAAAUUAUCUAAGAAAGGAUUAAACCCAAAAGUAGUGAUGCUAAAGUAAUUAAACUAAAAAGAAAAUAACUAAUGAACUUUAAACAGAGGAAGAGCUGAUUUAUAUAUUAUCAAUGUUAUGUAAACGAUCUAGGAUUAUGGGUUAUCUAACAUGGCCUAUUGUAUUCUUCAAUUGAAUUAACUAACUAAUUUAUCUAGUUUAUUGGUUAACAUGGUUAAUAUUCCUCAUAAGAAUCUGUCGAGUUCUUACUCGCUUAUUUAAACUAAUCUAACGCAUAUAUGUCUAUGGAAUUAGAACUAACAAGAACGCAUUUAUAAUUUCUGUAAAUCAACCAAGCAAGUCAAUUAGGUAUAUGUCUAUCCUAACCGCGAAUUCGUUCCCUGGUACCUAGGUUCAAGAACUUGCUCUACUCAAUUCUAAUGCAAUCUAGAAUUCCCACUUUCGAGUUCAAUUCCAGAUUCGUAGAUAGUAUUUAAUUGGUGAUCAAGCUAUUAAAUAAUUAAGUGCAGGAUUGAAUAAAUAAACUAAUAUAAUAAACUAAGAAAUAAAAAUCAAUAUUCGAAUAACAAUUGUCAUGAAACAACUACAACCUUAGAAUGUGAAGUUUAGCUCCACAUAUAUAUGGUAGCAAAACAACAAAUCAUACAAAGAACAUAAAAAUUACUAACUUAGGUUGAAGAAAAGAUGAAACCCGGCCUCCAC